rnacentral:piRNA from 1 species
UAUUGUCGUUUGCAGCAAGCAGCACGGA